GGAGGUGAGUCCCCACCGUCCCCAGGCCGGGCUGCGGGUCGCGGGGCAGGCGCAGGAGGGAGUCUCCCAUUCCCACCCCGGGGCAAGCGAGCUCCCUCGGGCCGCGCCGUCUUGGCGGCUCCUGGGCGGGCGGGGCGCAGUGCCGCGGACUCCAACCCGAGAAGAGGCCGUGGAAGGGCGCUCCUGGGCGGCUUGCUGGGUGAGCGCUGCAGGGAGCCUGGGGAGAGCGAGGGAGAGCGGUCAGGGGUCAGAGGGGCCGAGGCGGCGUCCUCGGGGAAACGCGCAGGUGUAAGGUGGUGGAGGCGAGGGGUUCGCGGGCCACCCGGGACUGCAGGGGUCUCAGCGCACCCGGUUGAUGGUGGUGGUUCCAGGAUCUUGGCCUCGUGUGGCCGCCGGGACCUCUCUCUCUUCUCGGUCCCAGUCUGCAGUCUGGAGGCCUGGAUGGGACCACUGUCCCUCUGGGCAGGGGCGCGGCGGGGGGCGUUGGGGUCCCAGUUCCUCUGGAGCAGUUGAGUUUGUGAAUCUUGGUGGGAGUUGUCAAGAAAAACAGGGUCGGGCACGGCUCGCAUCUUAGAGAGGAAACUUGAGCAGGCCAGCAGAGAGAGGCUGCCUGGAAUCUCCCUCCUUUCUCAUUUCCCCAACUCUUGGCGGGCCGUUUAGGGCAGAGGUGUGGUCAGCCCCUUGGCAGGUGGGAAAGCAGAGGUUCCCAGCCGCCCUGAAAGUUGGUCUCUGCAGCCCAAGGGGAGCCCUCCUUUGGAAUUUGAACACCGCUGGUAUCUCCCACUCAGAGAGGGUCAGAGGCCAAAGACGUGGAGAGGUAGUCCCCUAAUGCGCUGGGAUCGCCCAUCUGCACAGCGUCAUUCCCACUGGAGUCUGUGUGAGCUGAGAUGACGCUGACUUCGGCCUGCGUUCCUGCACAGGUCAGCCCUCAGGGCUGCCAAGGCACAAGUCAGGCGGCCCUGGGCGAGCUAGGGGACCUGCCCAAUCCAGUACCCCCCGCCCCCCGAGGAAGGAAGGGGGAUUGGCCAGUAUGGCCUGGAGGGUGGGACAGCCCAGCCAAGCUGACGGACCUGCUCGGGAUGGGGUGGGCAUCAGGCAUUUGGAGCGCCAAGCAACACCCGCUGGACUCUGACUUGUGGAGUUCUGAUUUGGUCUCUGGUUGAGUGCAGCUUUCCACAAUUCAUGGUUAUUUUGAAGCCGGGCUUCCUCAUCACUCAGCAGGGACCUUGGGCAGUGACUUUGAUGUGGUGGAAGUAUCUUCCCCAAGGGGGACUUUUGUGAGGAUUAAGUGAAAUAAUGCACGUAAUAUGCUUAACGUUGUGCCUGGUGAGUUCUAAGUGCUCAGUCGGCGGCACUUCCAGUUUUGUUUUGCUUUGUUUUUCAUUACUGGUCUCUUCCCGGAGGAGGGCCUUCCAGAAGUCAGAGGGCUGGACAGAGCCCAGGGGCGGCCCUCUGGAGGGAGAGGAGGCUUGGCAUCUGGUGCUGCGGUCUCAGUGCACAUGGAGAAAACUUCACAUCCUCGCGCUGGCCUGGGAGCCUGCAGGAUGGCCCCUUCCAGCACUGUGACCUCAUCUGUCCCCCUUGCCCCAUCCCCAUCGCUCCUUACUCCACAGCCUGACUUCACCCUUUCCACCUUGAGCUGCUCCCCAGGACCGGAGCUCUGCCCCUAGAUCUUUGCACAGCUGACUUCUUCAGGCUGGAGGGAGUUCACUUCCUCCCAAGGCCUUCCCUGACCUCCACCGUCCUCCCAGCCCCUGCCCUGCUGGGCGCACCAGUCUUUCUUCACAGUGCUUAGCACUGGCUCUCAGAAAAGACCCUGUGAAUGUACUUCUAGUCUCACUGGAAAGAAGUGUGCAUUCCUGAAGGGCCUGGUCUCCAGCUCCCGGCUGUAACCUCACACAGUGUCUGGCACACAGUGGGACUCAUAAAUAUUUGGAAAAUGAAAUCAGGCAGGCAUAGAAGCAGGGUGGGCCUGCGUGGGGUCCAGGUCCCUGCAGGGAAGGAGCAGCCCCGAUCUGGAAGUCAAGGGAAAGUCCAAAGGGCUGAGCUGCCCCCAGAACUCUGAUUUCCUUGGUGACCCUGGCCCUGCACAUCCCUGAGCAGGUUCUCCACGUGUAAGCCGAGGCAGAGGAGUUACAGCUCCCACUCCACCCCCGACGGCUGCCCAGCUCCUACUUUCCAGGGCUACCAUAUUGGGGCCCCACACAUCUCUCAUUUAUCCAAAAUGCUGUGUCCCGAGUAGGGGAGAGGACAGGACAACUCCCAUCAGGACAGUGCCCUGCGUGGCCUGUUCAGCGUGCCCUGCAGUGUGUGUGUUAUGCAUUUUACAAUGUGGCGCGGUGUAGAUCAGGAGUUGGCUAACCUUUUCUGUCAAGAGCUGGUAGCAAAUAGUUUAGGUUUUGCCAGCCAUACAGCCUCUGUCCCGCAUGACUGUGUUUGAGUAAAAUUGGAUUUAGAAAAGCUGGCAGUGGCCCGGAUUUGGUGUAGCUCUCCAGCCCCUGCUGUUGAGCACAUAUCACACCUGGGCUGUAACAUACAGAACCUGGCUUCAUGGCUUCUACAGCCACGCGGUGGCUCUCAGGAUGUGGCUCCCAAGCCGCAGUGCUCACGUGAGCACCUCCAGCCCCUGUGCAGGCAGCAGGAUUGCUGAGCCUGAGAGUCCCCACCCCUCUGAACCCUCAAAGAAAGAUGCAGGUCUGUUCGUUGCCUGACUCCCAGGCUUACUGAGACUGCGCCGCGGUCACCCCUCUACCAGCAGCCCUGGGGCCAACACAGGCACUCUCUGAGUCCCAGAGGCUGCCCGGAAGCUCUGUCACCAACAUCUUCCCGAGGCAGGCCAGCCCCAAAUGAAUAAGGACAGGACUCAGCUUUUUCCUCCCCCGUGCUAAGCAAGGGAGGUUCACUUCCCUGGUGAGAACAAUAAAAAAAAAAAAA
ensembl:lncRNA